rnacentral:rRNA from 1 species
GUUGGCGGCGUGGAUUAGGCAUGCAAGUCGAACGAAUCCCAAGGGCUUGCUCUUUGGGGGAAGUGGCGAAAGGGGCAGUAAUGCAUGGGUAACCUACCCCGGGGACGUGGAUAGCCUUCCUAACGGAUGGGUAAUACACGGCGAUCUGGCUAAGAGACAUCUCUCUGCCAGGAAAUGAAUUUCGCCUCGGGAGGGGCUCAUGUCGUAUUAUCUUGUUGGUGAGGUAACGGCUCACCAAGGCAAAGAUGCGUAGCGGGUGUGAGAGCACGACCCGCGCCACUGGCACUGAGACACUGGCCAGACUCCUACGGGAGGCUGCAGUCGAGGAUCUUUGGCAAUGGGCGCAAGCCUGACCAAGCGACGCCGCGUGUGCGAUGAAGGCCUUCGGGUUGUAAAGCACUGUCGAGGGGGAGUAAGCCGAAAGGUUGAACUAUCCCUGGAGGAAGCUCGGGCUAAGUUCGUGCCAGCAGCCGCGGUAAGACGAACCGAGCGAACGUUGUUCGGAAUCACUGGGCUUAAAGGGCGCGUAGGCGGGUGGGAAAGUCUGCGGUGAAAUCCUCCAGCUUAACUGGAGAAGUGCCG